CCACAGACGGGCUCCCACAGUGCAGCGGUGGGGCGAAGGGCUCCUCAAGCGCGGCCAGAGUGGACGUCCAGGCCGAGGAGACACGGAGAGCGAGCAAGGGCUGCCAGCACGCUGUCACUUCUUAUUAAGGUGUGCGUUUGGGUGGAAAGUAUGUACUGUUUAUGCUGAACUACUGUUUAAGACAGAAUUCAUCAAGUAGCAGAAGUGAUGGAAGGGCCAAGGGGAAGAAAGAUGGACAAAACCUGAAAAUUGAAAGUGCAAUAAAAUGAAAAUUACAAAUGAAAACCAGUAUGCCUGAGAUAUACAUGACUGUUUAGUAGAGUGUCUUCAUGUGGGUUAAAGAAGAAAAGGAAAUAUCAGCUGGAAUCAGCAGAACAGAUUUAGCACUUGACCCUUGGAUACUUUUCAUUCUAUUUAUCUGUCAUAUUUUUAUUGGUUUGUAUUCCAUUGACCACUAUAUGCACCGACCCUCAGCAAAUUCAUUCAAUAGAGAGGAGAGAUUAUAUCUCCACUGUAUCAGUGGAGCUGUUUAGGAACGUUUCUCCCGCUUCUUGUAUGUAUUUUGUCCUAUUUGUACAUUGUAUUUUAUGAGCUGCUUUAGAA